rnacentral:lncRNA from 1 species
CAACACUCUGUUACAGUUAUUUUGGGGUAGUGCUUUUCAAAGAAAUCCUGGCACUCAUUCUAUUUUUCCGUAGUGGGUUUUAUCACAUCACUGCUAACCUCCUCCCUGUCUUCCUCUUCCUUGGUGGGAUGCUUCUCAACAAAUGCCUUCUGCUGCUCACUCUGGAGUUUAGCAAGCUCUGUCAUCAGCUCCUUCUGGACCUCAACAAGCUCCUCUGUGUCUGCCCCAUCAGCAUCCAGCCCAUGGACACAGUCUCCACUCCCUGUGUAUCAGACCCUUCAAAGUCACUUUCAGUGACACAUUCUGGCCACAGUUUCCUCCAGGCUGAGUUUAAGAACUCUUCAGUGACAUUAAAACACCUGGUGAAGGCUGCCUUUGUGUACAGCUUCUUGAAGUUGCAGAUCACUUUCUGUUCCAUGGGCUGCAGAAGAGGUGUCGUGAUAGUCACCAUCCAUAUCAUCCACCAAGGCUGGAGGGUGUGCCAGUGCAUUGUCCAACAGAAGAAGGUACAUUUCAGGUGUUUGGUUGUCAGAAAGAUAUUUCUGUCUUUUUUUUUCGGUACCAGGGAUUGAAGUCAGGACCUUGGGCUUGGGAGGCAGGUGCAGUGUCACUGAGCUAAAUCCUUGCCCUCCCCCCAGUCGAAAGAUAUUUUUCUUUUUUUUUUUGGUACCAGGGAUUGAACUCAGGUCCUUGUGCUUGCACAGCAGGCGGCGAAACCACUGAGCUAAAUCCCCAGCCCCUGAAAGGUAUUUCUUAAUGGUGAUGCAAACACCAUGUGCUGCCAUUCCAUGAACUAUUGCCUUAUGACCCAAGCUUUCACAUUGGGCCCCCACGUGAUAGGCAGUCUGACCUUGUUCACAUUCUGUUCCUUGAAUGCAUCAGGGGUCUGGGAAUGACACACCAGUAGUGGCUUAAUCUUCAGAUUGGCACUUCAAUUUGCACACAGCAAAAGGGUCCAUCUGUCUUUUAUGGGAGUGCCUUUUCCUUCUGUGUGAUAUAGGUUCUGUUCAGUAUCUUCUUCCAAAAGAGCCCUGUUUCAUUGCAGCUGAAUACUUGUUGAGCAACUUAUCCUUUUGCAUUCAUGAAUUCCAUAAAUUCUUUCUUGUAGAGUUCUGAAGCAGCCUUGUCAAAACUGGAAGCCUCACCAUGUCUUAUCGCACUGUGGAUGCUACUUCUCUUGCAGAAUUUAUCCAACUAUUCUCUAUUCUCUUUAAAUUCAUCACUUGGAAGUUUUCUGCCAUGACU